rnacentral:rRNA from 4 species
AAAUUGAAGAGUUUGAUCAUGGCUCAGAUUGAACGCUGGCGGCAGGCCUAACACAUGCAAGUCGAACGGUAACAGGAAGCAGCUUGCUGCUUCGCUGACGAGUGGCGGACGGGUGAGUAAUGUCUGGGAAACUGCCUGAUGGAGGGGGAUAACUACUGGAAACGGUGGCUAAUACCGCAUAACGUCGCAAGACCAAAGAGGGGGACCUUCGGGCCUCUUGCCAUCAGAUGUGCCCAGAUGGGAUUAGCUUGUUGGUGAGGUAACGGCUCACCAAGGCGACGAUCCCUAGCUGGUCUGAGAGGAUGACCAGCCACACUGGAACUGAGACACGGUCCAGACUCCUACGGGAGGCAGCAGUGGGGAAUAUUGCACAAUGGGCGCAAGCCUGAUGCAGCCAUGCCGCGUGUAUGAAGAAGGCCUUCGGGUUGUAAAGUACUUUCAGCGGGGAGGAAGGUGUUGUGGUUAAUAACCGCAGCAAUUGACGUUACCCGCAGAAGAAGCACCGGCUAACUCCGUGCCAGCAGCCGCGGUAAUACGGAGGGUGCAAGCGUUAAUCGGAAUUACUGGGCGUAAAGCGCACGCAGGCGGUCUGUCAAGUCGGAUGUGAAAUCCCCGGGCUCAACCUGGGAACUGCAUUCGAAACUGGCAGGCUUGAGUCUUGUAGAGGGGGGUAGAAUUCCAGGUGUAGCGGUGAAAUGCGUAGAGAUCUGGAGGAAUACCGGUGGCGAAGGCGGCCCCCUGGACAAAGACUGACGCUCAGGUGCGAAAGCGUGGGGAGCAAACAGGAUUAGAUACCCUGGUAGUCCACGCCGUAAACGAUGUCUACUUGGAGGUUGUGCCCUUGAGGCGUGGCUUCCGGAGCUAACGCGUUAAGUAGACCGCCUGGGGAGUACGGCCGCAAGGUUAAAACUCAAAUGAAUUGACGGGGGCCCGCACAAGCGGUGGAGCAUGUGGUUUAAUUCGAUGCAACGCGAAGAACCUUACCUGGUCUUGACAUCCACAGAACUUUCCAGAGAUGGAUUGGUGCCUUCGGGAACUGUGAGACAGGUGCUGCAUGGCUGUCGUCAGCUCGUGUUGUGAAAUGUUGGGUUAAGUCCCGCAACGAGCGCAACCCUUAUCCUUUGUUGCCAGCGAUUAGG